AGUGAACGCUGGCGGUAGGCCUAACACAUGCAAGUCGAACGGCAGCACAGUAAGAGCUUGCUCUUACGGGUGGCGAGUGGCGGACGGGUGAGGAAUAUAUCGGAAUCUACUUUUUCGUGGGGGAUAACGUAGGGAAACUUACGCUAAUACCGCAUACGACCUACGGGUGAAAGCAGGGGAUCUUCGGACCUUGCGCGAUUGAAUGAGCCGAUGUCGGAUUAGGUAGUUGGCGGGGUAAAGGCCCACCAAGGCGACGAUCCGUAGCUGGUCUGAGAGGAUGAUCAGCCACACUGGAACUGAGACACGGUCCAGACUCCUACGGGAGGCAGCAGUGGGGAAUAUUGGACAAUGGGCGCAAGCCUGAUCCAGCCAUACCGCGUGGGUGAAGAAGGCCUUCGGGUUGUAAAGCCCUUUUGUUGGGAAAGAAAAGCAGCAGGUUAAUACCCCGCUGUUCUGACGGUACCCAAAGAAUAAGCACCGGCUAACUUCGUG
rnacentral:rRNA from 1 species